UUUCUACGCCAUACCAUUCAGAACGCGCCCGAUCUCAUCUGAUCUCGGAAGCUAAGCAGGGUCGGGCCUGGUUAGUACUUGGAUGGGAGACAAUUCUUUUUUUUGGAAGAACCAGGGACUGAACU
rnacentral:rRNA from 1 species